rfam:Corynebacterium freneyi DNF00450 contig25, whole genome shotgun sequence.
UCAUGGACAACAUCCUGAUCGAGACGGGGUCGGGGAAACCACCGGCACCAGCCGGACGGGACGAACAUCCACCGCGAUGUUCCGACUCCCUGGGGUGAAGCCGGACGAACCACGUCCGCCGGGCAUCCCUACCGCCCGAACCCGACAGCUAACCCCGACGGCGAAUCACCGAAAUCAA